AUGAAACAAUUUCUACUAAUUUUACUAUUUUUUACUUCUUUAGCUGCUGCCCAACAGUGUUGGGAUAGUUCAGAUAGACUGAUCAACGGGAGAUGCUAUAAACUUGUCAACCAACAACUUUCCUACCAGGACGCCCGGUCCUGGUGUCGUUACCAGAAUUCCGUGGUAUCAUAUUUGGCAACUGUUUCGGAUCAAAUAACGGCGAGCUUUUUGGCAUCGUACGCCGUCACCGCAUUUGGCUCAAACGAGGGAAGCUUCUGGAUUGGUCUAAGCCGCUCAAGUUCCACAUACAAAUGGGAUGACGGAACUCCCCUAGGCUGGACCAAUUUCAAUUAUCAAAAUUCUCAAGACUACGUGGCCGAAAGUGUGACGAAUGCCAAAUGGACCGCCUACAACAGUGAAACAGAACUGAAAUUCGUGUGCUCCUACUAUCCACUGAUGCCAACCACUAACUUGGCGUCGUCUACAGAUGCACCGCGUACUACAGAGGCAUCUACUUAUUGGACUUCCGAGACACUGACAUCGUCGAGCACUUAAAGUCUACGGCCAACACCCAUAUUUUCCAAAUUUCAAAUUUUCUUAUCAAUGCUUCCUGUUACUUAUCACCCAAUAUUAUUACUUUUUCUGAAAAAUUUUUCAGUUUUAUUUUGUCAUGAAAAAUCUCAUUUUACUUACCUUUUCCUCAUUUUUCGCUAUUUCUCAUUGUCAGGCACAAAAGUGCAGUGAUGAUUCGGACAAUUUAAUUAACGGAAGAUGCUACAAACUGGUGACUCAACAGCUCACCUACUCGGAUGCUCGUGGCUUUUGCCACCAGGCGGACCCGGGGUACACUCUGGCUACGGUAUUGGAUAAGUCGACGGCUAAUGUUUUGUCAGUCCUCGCCCAUUCCGUGUUCAACUCCAGCAACGGUGGGCAAUUCUGGAUUGGUUUGAGCAGAAAUUCCACCGGGAGCCCAUGGACAUGGGAUGACAAAAGUUCCUUCGGCUGGUCAAAUUUCGGAACUCAACUAGGCCAAAACUAUGUGGCACAGAGCAGUACGAACUCCAAAUGGGGCACAUUUGGUAGUACUGAUAAGAAUUAUUUCGUUUGCAGUUAUGACCCAGCUAGUGUGCCUACCACUGCGAAACCUUUAUCUUCUGUAACAUGUCUAAUUAUGUAUGACACACAGUCUCUCGGAAUUGAUCAAAAUGCAAUUAAUUCUUAUAAAGCGUACUUCAACUUUGCCCAUCUUGUCGCUAGCAAACUGAAUGACAAGACAAUGCUAACCGGCUACAUUGACAAUUACGGGUACUCUGCUGGGCUUAAUGAUCAUCAAAACUACCCUACUGAUGAUUUUUUUGAUUUAAGAGGAAUUCCGUUCCCAAUUGACGGCACUGACGAUGAUAUCGAUUUAGAUCUGAAAGAUGUCGACGGAUCUCUAGCAGCCGCUUCUUGGACCCCACCAGUCACAGAUCAAACAUGCAUGAUAUUUAUAUCAGCUGCCCCAGAAGCCGAAUACGGUGGUACCACAAUCAAAUCCACCUACUCCUCCUUUGGUACAGUAGUCGGAGUACUGGUUGGUGGAGCCACUUCAAUUCCUGGGCUCUCAAUUGACACAAAUGUGAUUGCUGCUCCAGCGUUGUCGGAUUCGGACGCCGAUGCUGUUGUGAGCAAGCUCCUGGAGCUGUUACCUACAGCUUAA